rnacentral:rRNA from 1 species
GCAGUAGCCGCGGUAAUGCAGAGGAUGCAAGCAUUAUCCGGAAUGAUUGGGCGUAAAGCGUGCGCAGGCGGUUGUGUAAGACAGGUGUGAAAUCCCCGGGCUUAACCUGGGAACUGCGCUUGUGACUGCACAGCUAGAGUAUGGCAGAGGGGGGUGGAAUUCCACGUGUAGCAGUGAAAUGCGUAGAGAUGCGGAGGAACACCGAUGGCGAAGGCAAUCCCCUGGGCCUGCACUGACGCUCAUGCACGAAAGCGUGGGGAGCAAACAGGAUUAGAUACCCGAGUAGUCCCUGUCUCUUAUAC